AGUCAUCUGAGUUGUUCGUAAGUUUGCUUUUUAAUUUGGGCCUAACACUCUUUGAUCAAGGGAGCCCAAUGGGUUUUCUUGCAGCGUACAUGCCUUAUAUGAAGGACGUACAAAACAAGAAACAGGGCACCCACCUGUAUAUAACAGGCCGAAUGAUCAAGCUAUUAUAACUACGGCAAUACGGACUCUAU
rnacentral:other from 1 species